CAACCCUCGGGCCCUCGUUUGGCCCGGUGUUGGGGCGCUACGGGUCUUAUCAGACCUGUAGGCCCUUAAAACCAGUGGCGGGCUCGCCAGGACUCCGAGCGUAGUAGUUUUCUUCUCGUUCAGGCGGUCUGGCGUGCUUCGGCCGUUAAAUAUCCAGCGGUAAUCGCACACAA
rnacentral:misc_RNA from 1 species